UGGGUAUCCAUUUACUUCUUCAGGACAUCUUUUUGACUCAGGGAUUGAGCCUGCCUUUCCUACAUUGGCAGGAGGUUUCUUUACCACUGAAAGAAACCUCAGGGGAGCCCUGAAAUUAUUAACAGACAUCCUCAAAGGAGGAGGAAUGACAGAGAUUAACAUUUACUUUUUAUGAAGGCCCUAAAAUGUGCUAAAAAUGCCCAGAUUAAAGAUAAAUCUGAGGAGGGGUGAUUAGUUGUAUGUCCACACCUGGCAGCUCUACAGUUUUCAGUUAUACUCAAAACGAGGUCAUUUACUUGGAAAGAAGCAGAUAUUUGGCAACAUAAUUGGGCUACAGCUGAAGCCCUCAAACCUCUAAACUCAAUCUGUACGAGGAAAUAAAUUCCCUUUGUUACUUAAGCCAGUUUCUGUUAUUUGCAGCUGAGCUUUAUGUCAGGUAAGAUAAAGGUUAAAAACACAAAAAAGUGACAGGGUCUCCCUGUUCUGCUCUAAUGUGGUCUAAAGAAUAGUAGCAUCACCUUGGAACUUGUUAGAAAAGCCAAUUCUUGGGCCCCAUCCCAGACCUGCUAAAUCCGAACCGCUGCAGCCCUGAUUGGCGCCUGACUUGCGUUCCCAACAAGCCGCAGGUGUUGCUGAUGCCCUUGGAAGGCAGACCACCUUUGAGCAGCUCCUCUGAAAUACUCCCCUGAGUGGACGAUGAGGCGAAGACUUCAGAGCUUUGAGGGAUGAAUAUUAAGUUUUUCUCCUUACCAGAGACAAAAGGCAGACUGAUGACAUGGUGGGGGAAGAACCACAGGGUCUGGCUCCAUUUCACUGUAGGUUCCUUGGCUAUUUGCAGCAGCUACCUUUGAUGUUCAACUACCGGACUUUUUUGUUUGUUUGAACUCCUGUAUAUCCUGGCUGCUCCCUUACCUCAAAGCCAUCUGAGAGGCUGUCUUCUGGGCUUCCAUCCUCGCAUGUGAGAUCUUUCCCAGAACGAGGAUGAACGUGUGCCUCCUGCAGUGAAAGUAUGGAGUCUUAACCACUGGCUCACCAGAGAUGAACAGUUGCAGGACAGAAACAAGAAAGAAAAAGAAAGAGAAGUUGCUUCAGUCGUGUCUGACUCUUCUCUGUCCAUGGGAUCCUCCAGGCAAGAAUACUGGACUGGGCUGCCAACUUUUGUCUCAUUGGAGGUUUUCAGUAGCAUUGUGACCACAGCCCUGGUGGAUAGGUAUGAGAAGAAAGGAUUCCUGCACCAAGACAUUUACAACAAGUGGCCACUCUCUCCUCCCCUUUAAUUACUUACAAAAGGAGCCUGAAUUCUAACUCAGGUAGGGCGGUUCUUUGGAACACUAGUCCCCCAUCUUCUUGGUCUGCUGGCUUUCCCAAUAAAGUCACUAUCCCUUGCCCCAGCAACCUCAUCUCUCAAUUUCUUGGCCUGUCACGCUGGGAGUAGUCUGAGCUUGUACUCAUAUGAUAGCAGCUGCAGUGGAGAAGCAAAUUGGAAGAUAGAAUGGAAGCAGGAAAGUUCACGGGCAAGUCCGAGAUGGUUGAGACCACAAAUGGUGAUGGGCAGCUGAUCCAAGGAGACAGGGAGGUGAUUCUAGAGUCAAUCGGCAGGCUCAGUGUCUUGUUACCACCAGUCACAGUAAUGGACUUAGGCCAGUUUUCUCUUUUAUUUCUUAAAAGGAACUCCCAAUUCCUACACAGCUAGCCUUUAUUUUAUCCCUUAAAUUCCUUUCCCCAAUUAAAAUAAGCAAGCAAUUAUUAAUCCACAGAAAUAAACUUUUAGGGCUGACUUUGCCAUCAUGUAAGGCAGCUCUCGCAUCGAUGACCAAACAGAGGUCACAUUUUGCAAGGCCACACGAAGAGCUGUUCCCCUGCCCUGCGUCCGCUCUUCACGCCAUAACACAAGGGCUUUGGUUGUUCUUUCCACUCCUUAUUUUCACUUAAAUAAAUUCUCAAACAGAAGCACACGCUGCUUCCACAAUCCGCACUCUUUCUCCAGGGGGUGGGUAGGGUUGCAGAGAUGUGGAGAGAGGGACAGGAGAUCCAUCCACGAGCAGCGAUGGGCCUGCGUGCCCACUGAGCCCCAUCCUAAGUCACCGGCCUGCACAACCCUCUCCUGAGUUGUUCGGUUCUGCACUGUAAUCCUGCCUCCAUUCCAGUGGUUAUGCCUCCCCUUGGAAAGCUCACACUUCUGUCUGUUUGGGGAUGGCAUUAAAAGGAAUGUCACCCCAGUGCUGCCUUUGCGGCUUUCCAUCAGCAUCUCCCAUUAAGUACAGCCAAGUGGGCACCUGAUGGCCUGUGCGAAAGAGGCAGUUUCCCAAUUAUAAGGAAUUCGAAUGGUUUAACAGCCCCAAACCCUGUCAAACACGUCUACUGAAGGAAGAUACUGCUUUCCAGCUUGUUACAGAACAUGAUUCCCUUGGUAUAAUAGCUCUCUGUACUUCCGUGUUAAUCUUUAAAAGCCUGCCUGCUCUUCUCAUAUCACUAGCAGCUGUUGUUAAAUUAAAUUUCUAAGGAAAAUAAACAAUUCAUCUUUGGGGGAUUCAGGCCUAAAGAGUUUUGCAAAUGUCAAAUUACCUUUUCUGGGUUCACUCCAGGAAGGCUUCACUGCUUUUUAUCCAUUCUCUAUAACUAAUUCCAGGGUAUGAAGAUGUUUCAGAGUUUUAGGAUGAAUCUAUGUUGUCUACAUUCCAUUGUCCUUGAUGUACUUUAGCAUUUCUGUAAUCUCUCCCA